rnacentral:rRNA from 1 species
UCCCAAGGGUUGGGCUGUUCGCCCAUUAAAGCGGUACGCGAGCUGGGUUCAGAACGUCGUGAGACAGUUCGGUCCCUAUCCGUCGUGGGCGUAGGAAAUUUGAGAGGAGCUGUCCUUAGUACGAGAGGACCGGGAUGGACAUACCUCUGGUGUACCAGUUGUCGUGCCAACGGCAUAGCUGGGUAGCUAUGUGUGGACGGGAUAAGUGCUGAAAGCAUCUAAGCAUGAAGCCCCCCUCAAGAUGAGAUUUCCCAACUUCGGUUAUAAGAUCCCUCAAAGAUGAUGAGGUUAAUAGGUUCGAGGUGGAAGCAUGGUGACAUGUGGAGCUGACGAAUACUAAUCGAUCGAAGACUUAAUCAA